CGUGGGAAAAGCAUCGCGUUGGCACAGUGGAUCCAAACUCUCUGCACCGUGGACAUGCUUGAUUUGCCUUUGCGCCUAUUCGUCUCCCAGGUUAGGGGUGAUUUGGUCUUGGAUGCAACAUGGUUUGGAGCUCUCGGAUGGGGUGCCGUUGCCUUCUUUUGGCUUCGGUUUGUUCUCCCAGCUCUCGCAGUGCCUGGGUCCAGCUGGAUCGCGGGAGGCGUUGGCGGCUCUUUCUCUUGCUUUUCAUUUGGGAGCUGGGUGAGCUGCGUUUUCUUUUCCUCUGGUUUCUUUUUGCUUGCAGAAGCUCCAGUUGCAGGCUUGGGAAUCCAGGAGGCCAAUUUUUUUUAUCCGUCUGUCUUUGUUUUGGCUAUAGCUGGGUUUAAUUUUGGGUGGUUGUGAGUCUUGGCUCAGACUAGCGGCGGCGUUGGCGGCUUUUUUUAGUCUGCAGAGGCUCCUGUUGCAGGCUUGGAAUUCCAGAGGAGCUUUUUUUUUUUUUUUUGGUUCUGGCUGUGGCUGGGUUUGAUUUUGCUUGGUUGUGAGUCCUGGUUCAGAAAAAGAUGGCGUGCGACGAUGACUUUGCAUUUAUUGUACACCAGGCUGGGUACUUGGUCCUUAGGGGUGUUACUGCUUAUUGGAUCGGAUUGGACGUUUUCUAGAGGUGUAGAAAUUUAGUUAGGGGAUUUUAGUUCAUCAAGCCUCUCUUUGGGUCUCUAAUGUUGUUGAAUUGUAAAAGGCAGGAUUUUCAUGCCUUCAAUUGCAUUUCGUCUUGGCUUUUCUUCCCCAGUGUGCUUCUCUCUAAGGUGUAGUAGUGGCUUUGGUUUUUAUCAACUCAGUUUCUGACAUUGUUUGUGCUCGGCUGGUGUCUUUUUUUCCACCUUUUAUUCCUUUAAUCGGUGCUCAUUUCAUUUUUUCAUCUUCCUGGUUGUUUUGGAUCCUUUUAUUUGUUUUGUUGUCUUUUAUCAGGAAUAUUUGGGUUUGUUGGGGCUGUUUGGCUGCUCUGUUGAUAAGCUACUUUUCCAGAAGCAGUGGAAGUCCAAGAAAACAACGUCAUACACAAUAUGAUCAUUUUUGCUAAAUGCCAUGUUAGCGCUGUAGCUUUUUGC